rnacentral:rRNA from 1 species
CGGCCGUCCGAGUUGUAAUCUAGAGAAGUGUUACCCGCGUCGGACCGUGUAUAAGUCUCCUGGAAUGGAGCGUCAUAGAGGGUGAGAAUCCCGUCUUUGACACGGACUACCGAGGCUUUUGUGGUGCUCUCAACGAGUCGAGUUGUUUGGGAAUGCAGCUCAAAAUGGGUGGUAAAUUCCAUCUAAAGCUAAAUAUUGGCGAGAGACCGAUAGCGAACAAGUACCGUGAGGGAAAGAUGAAAAGAACUUUGGAAAGAGAGUUAAACAGUACGUGAAAUUGCUAAAAGGGAAACGCUUGAAGUCAGUCGCGUUGGCCGGAAAUCAACCCUACUUCUGUUGGGUGUACUUUCUGGUUGACGGGUCAGCAUCAGUUUUGACCGGUGGAAAAAGGCAUUGGGAAUGUGGCCUCUCCGGAGGUGUUAUAGCCCCUUGUUGUAUACACCGGUUGGGACUGAGGAAUUCAGCACGCCGCAAGGCCGCGUCUUCGGACGACGUUCGUGCUUAGGAUGCUGGCAUAAUGGCUUUAAUCGACCCGUCUUGAAACACGGACCAAGGAGUCUAAUGGCAGCCUGCGAGUGUUUGGGUGGAACCCGAGCGCGAAAUGAAAGUGAAAGUUGGGAUCCUUGUCAUGGGGAGCACCGACGCCCGGACCUGAUGUUUACUGACGGCUCUGCGGUAAAGCAUGUAUGUUGGGACCCGAAAGAUGGUGAACUAUGCCUGAAUAGGGUGAAGCCAGAGGAAACUCUGGUGGAGGCUCGUAGC